rnacentral:misc_RNA from 1 species
AAAAAUAAAAAAACAAAGAAUUUACUACACCUAGAGCAUGCAAUACAUUAUUCAAUAGCAUUGUCACUCCAAUUUGAAUUUCUGAUGGUCAUCACAUGACGUGCUUCACAAAUGAACCCAGCACAACUGGAGAACUGAACUGCUGAUUGGCAAUGUCGGUUACAAUAUGGCUUGUUGCAAUAAUUACAUUUGGAAGAAGAAGCCAACAAUCUGAAAACACUGUCUGCACAUGCAGCUUCUAUUUCUUCCGCAUCCACUCUCGUCACACCUUGGAAAGCCUUCCAUUUUCCAUGCUUGCAAAGCAAAUGAAUGCAGGAAGACCCUGUAUUUUCUUGGUCCAGGUUUAUGCAAUCACAAUAACUUCUAGAGCAUAAAAAUCCUUUACAUUUUAACAAUAGCUGAAAGCUAUUAAUAUUCACGACCAGAAUUAGGAAUCAACUGGUUAAAGAUGCAAAAUGAGAGUUCUAUGGCUGAAAAGAUGAAAAAUUUUGAAUAUUACACUGUAAUUUGAAAUACCAAAAAAAAUAAAACUAUGAUAUCAAUAAAAACAUACAUAAGCCAAUGAGUGUGGCACUCAAUUUUGCAAACCAUCAAUGGUCUAAAGGCUCAACA